rnacentral:rRNA from 1 species
GACGAACGCUGGCGGCGUGCUUAACACAUGCAAGUCGAACGGAAAGGCCCUGCUUUUGUGGGGUGCUCGAGUGGCGAACGGGUGAGUAACACGUGAGUAACCUGCCCUUGACUUUGGGAUAACUUCAGGAAACUGGGGCUAAUACCGGAUAGGAGCUCCUGCUGCAUGGUGGGGGCUGGAAAGUUUCGGCGGUUGGGGAUGGACUCGCGGCGUAUCAGCUUGUUGGUGGGGUAGUGGCUUACCAAGGCUUUGACGGGUAGCCGGCCUGAGAGGGUGACCGGCCACAUUGGGACUGGGAUACGGCCCAGACUCCUACGGGAGGCAGCGGUGGGGAGUAGUACACAAUGGGCGGAAGCCUGAUGCAGCAACGCCGCGUGCGGGAUGACGGCCUUCGGGUUGUAAACCGCUUUCGCCUGUGACGAAGCGUGAGUGACGGUAAUGGGUAAAGAAGCACCGGCUAACUACGUG